rnacentral:lncRNA from 1 species
GGACAAGGACAUAGAGCCCCUGAGCCAUGUAGCUCUCAUCUUCCAGUAGGCUGGCCUGAGUGCAUUCACAUGACAGAAGCAGGUUCCCAGGACAGGAGCAGAGAAAAAUGGGGCCUUCAUUUAGCUGAUUGAACCAACAAAGGAGAAGUUUGAGACAGAAAAUGAAUAUAGAUCCAGCUGCAGCAAUUAGAGGAGAAAUCGAUAGAACAUCAAGAGCAUCAGACACGUGUUCUUCAUGAAUAAAAUGAGAACAACAACAGUACCCACCUUGUAGGAUGUGGC